AAUAGAUACCCGGGUAGUCCACGCCGUAAACGAUGGAUGCUAGCUGUUAUGCGUAUCGACCCGUGUAGUAGCGAAGCUAACGCGUUAAGCAUCCCGCCUGGGGAGUACGAACGCAAGUUUAAAACUCAAAGGAAUUGACGGGGACCCGCACAAGCGGUGGAGCGUGUUCUUUAAUUCGAGGCUAAGCGAAGAACCUUACCAGGGCUUGACAUCCUUGGAAUUUCUCCGAAAGGAGAGAGUACUUUAUUGGACCAAGUGACAGGUGCUGCAUGGCCGUCGUCAGCUCGUGUCGUGAGAUGUUUGGUUAAGUCCAUUAACGAGCGCAACCCUUAUGAAUAGUUGUAUUUUUCUAUUCAGACUGCCCCGGUUAACGGGGAGGAAGGGGGGAUGAUGUCAGGUCAGUAUUGCCCUUACGCCCUGGGCUAGAAACGCGCUACAAUGGCCGGUACAAUGCGCUGCCAACCCGCGAGGGGAGCAAAUCGCAUCAAAGCCGGUCCCAGUUCGGAUAAGAGGCUGAAACUCGCCUCUUGAAGCCGGAAUCGCUAGUAAUCGU
rnacentral:rRNA from 1 species